ensembl:lncRNA
CCAAAACCCAUAAAUGAACUUGGAGGACACUAUAACACUAAAUGACACAUUUUCUGAAUUCCUCACACCGCUCACACGUGUUCAUUGCCUCCCGCACCGCACUGUUGCAGACAGUCACAGAAAGAUCGCACAACAUGAGCAGACGCAGUAUGGGUGUUGAUUGUCCAUCUGAACCUCCUGACUGAAGAGAAGCUUGCCAGUUUCUACGAUGUCUUCCCUGUAAAGGCUCAUAUAUUGGUUUGGCCCUUAGGCCACAGCUGUGUGGAAAAAAACCUUCUCUACCCAUUAAUUGCCAAUGACAAAGGCAGAGAAUGUAAGAACUACAGUCAUUAGAUUCCAUUGAUGGCUUCAUUUUGGGGCACAUGUAUUCAGUGACUGGCUUGUUCCUCGGAAGUGAUGCAGCUUGAGAAGAGCUAAUUUUAUUUCCAUGUUUGGAGAAUGUAAAAUGAGUGGGGGAGUUUCUUUUGUAAACCAUGUUUAUGUAAUGCACAAUUUUGAAAGUUAUGCAUUGAUUGUUACCAAUAAAGAAAG